rnacentral:rRNA from 1 species
CGGGUUGUAAACCUUCUUUCAGCAGGGAAGAAGCGAAAGUGACGGUACCUGCAGAAGAAGCGCCGGCUAACUAACGUGCCAGCAGCCGCGGUAAUACGUAGGGCGCGAGCGUUGUCCGGGAAUUAUUGGGCGUAAAGAGCUCGUAGGCGGCUUGUCACGUCGGUUGUGAAAGCCCGGGGCUUAACCCCGGGUCUGCAGUCGAUACGGGCAGGCUAGAGUUCGGUAGGGGAGAUCGGAAUUCCUGGUGUAGCGGUGAAAUGCGCAGAUAUCAGGAGGAACACCGGUGGCGAAGGCGGAUCUCUGGGCCGAUACUGACGCUGAGGAGCGAAAGCGUGGGGAGCGAACAGGAUUAGAUACCCUGGUAGUCCACGCCGUAAACGGUGGGCACUAGGUGUGGGCAACAUUCCACGUUGUCCGUGCCGCAGCUAACGCAUUAAGUGCCCCGCCUGGGGAGUACGGCCGCAAGGCUAAAACUCAAAGGAAUUGACGGGGGCCCGCACAAGCGGCGGAGCAUGUGGCUUAAUUCGACGCAACGCGAAGAACCUUACCAAGGCUUGACAUACACCGGAAAACCCUGGAGACAGGGUCCCCCUUGUGGUCGGUGUAACAGGUGGUGCAUGGCUGUCGUCAGCUCGUGUCGUGAAGAUGUUGGGUUAAAGUCCCGCAACGAGCGCAACCCUUGUCCCGUGUUGCCAGCAGGCCCUUGUGGUGCUGGGGACUCACGGGAGACCGCCGGGGUCAACUCGGAGGAAGGUGGGGACGACGUCAAGUCAUCAUGCCCCUUAUGUCUUGGGCUGCACACGUGCUACAAUGGCCGGUACAAUGAGCUGCGAUACCGCGAGGUGGAGCGAAUCUCAAAAAGCCGGUCUCAGUUCGGAUUGGGGUCUGCAACUCGACCCCAUGAAGUCGGAGUCGCUAGUAAUCGCAGAUCAGCAUUGCUGCGGUGAAUACGUUCCCGGGCCUUGUACACACCGCCCGUCACGUCACGAAAGUCGGUAACACCCGAAGCCG